GAUGAACGCUAGCUACAGGCUUAACACAUGCAAGUCGAGGGGCAGCAUGACCUAGCUAUAGGUUGAUGGCGACCGUCGCACGGGUGAGUAACACGUAUCCAACCUGCCGAUUAUUCCGGGAUAGCCUUUCGAAAGAAAGAUUAAUACUGGAUAGCAUAACGAGAAGGCAUCUUCUUGUUAUUAAAGAAUUUCGAUAAUCGAUGGGGAUGCGUUCCAUUAGUUUGUUGGCGGGGUAACGGCCCACCAAGACAUCGAUGGAUAGGGGUUCUGAGAGGAAGGUCCCCCACAUUGGAACUGAGACACGGUCCAAACUCCUACGGGAGGCAGCAGUGAGGAAUAUUGGUCAAUGGACGAGAGUCUGAACCAGCCAAGUAGCGUGAAGGAUGACUGCCCUAUGGGUUGUAAACUUCUUUUAUAGGGGAAUAAAGUGGGCCACGUGUGGCUUUUUGUAUGUACCAUACGAAUAAGGAUCGGCUAACUCCGUG
rnacentral:rRNA from 1 species